rnacentral:rRNA from 1 species
AACGUAGGUGGCGAGCGUUAUCCGGAUUUACUGGGCGUAAAGCGUGUGCAGGCGGCCUCACAAGUGUUGUAUGAAAUAUCCAGGCUCAACCUGGAGGGGUUAUGCCAGACUGUGAGGCUAGAGUGCGAGAGAGGGGCGUGGAAUUCCGGGUGUAGUGGUGAAAUGCGUAGAGAUCCGGAGGAACCCCGGAGGCGAAGGCGGCGCCCUGGCUCGAGACUGACGCUCAGACACGAAAGCAUGGGGAGCGAACGGG